rnacentral:rRNA from 1 species
UACGAAAGGUGCAAGCGUUACUCGGAUUUACUGGGCGUAAAGGGCGGGCAGGCGGCCACCGCAAGUCAGUUGUGAAAUCUCUGGGCUUAACCCAGAAAGGUCAACUGAUACUGCGGGGCUAGAGUGCAGAAGGGGCAACUGGAAUUCUCGGUGUAGCGGUGAAAUGCGUAGAUAUCGAGAGGAACACCUGCGGCGAAGGCGGGUUGCUGGGCUGACACUGACGCUGAACUGCGAAAGCUAGGGGAGCGAACGGG